rnacentral:rRNA from 1 species
AUUGAACGCUGGCGUCAGGCCUAACACAUUCAAGUCGAGCGAGCGGCGGACGGGUGAGUAAUGUCUGGGAAACUGCCUGAUUGAGAGGGAUAACUACUGGAAACGGUAUCUAAUACCGCAUACCAUCAGAUGUGCCCCGAUGGGAUUAGCUCUUAGGUGGGGUAAUGGCUCACCUAGGCGACGAUCCCUAGAUGGUCUGAGAGGAUGACCAGCCACAGUGGAACUGAGACACGGUCCAGAACCCUACGGGAGGCAGCAGGGGGGAAGAUUGUAAAAAGGCGGCAAGCCUGAUGCAGCAAUGAAGGUGGUGUGAAGAAGGCCUUCGGGUUGUAAAGCACGUUGAGCGGGGAGGCGUUACCCGUAGAAGAAGCACCGGCUAAAUCAGUGCCAGCAGCCGAGGCAAUAC